rnacentral:rRNA from 1 species
UACGUAGGGACCAAGCGUUGUUCGGAUUUACUGGGCGUAAAGGGCGCGUAGGCGGCAAUUCAAGUCAGUUGUGAAAUCUCCGAGCUUAACUCGGAACGGUCAACUGAUACUGUUUUGCUAGAGUACAGAAGGGGCAAUCGGAAUUCUUGGUGUAGCGGUGGAAUGCGUAGAUAUCGGGAGGAACACCAGUGGCGAAGGCGGUUGCCUGGAGCUUUGCUGACGCUGAGGCGCGAAAGCGUGGGGAGCGAUCCGG